rnacentral:rRNA from 1 species
UGGAUUAAGAGCUUGCUCUUAUGAAGUUAGCGGCGGACGGGUGAGUAACACGUGGGUAACCUGCCCAUAAGACUGGGAUAACUCCGGGAAACCGGGGCUAAUACCGGAUAACAUUUUGAACCGCAUGGUUCGAAAUUGAAAGGCGGCUUCGGCUGUCACUUAUGGAUGGACCCGCGUCGCAUUAGCUAGUUGGUGAGGUAACGGCUCACCAAGGCAACGAUGCGUAGCCGACCUGAGAGGGUGAUCGGCCACACUGGGACUGAGACACGGCCCAGACUCCUACGGGAGGCAGCAGUAGGGAAUCUUCCGCAAUGGACGAAAGUCUGACGGAGCAACGCCGCGUGAGUGAUGAAGGCUUUCGGGUCGUAAAACUCUGUUGUUAGGGAAGAACAAGUGCUAGUUGAAUAAGCUGGCACCUUGACGGUACCUAACCAGAAAGCCACGGCUAACUACGUGCCAGCAGCCGCGGUAAUACGUAGGUGGCAAGCGUUAUCCGGAAUUAUUGGGCGUAAAGCGCGCGCAGGUGGUUUCUUAAGUCUGAUGUGAAAGCCCACGGCUCAACCGUGGAGGGUCAUUGGAAACUGGGAGACUUGAGUGCAGAAGAGGAAAGUGGAAUUCCA